GACUUCUGCAAUGUCAAGUGAAGGAAGCUCCUCCCAUAAGAUUGCAAACCUGGAGUCUGUUGAUCGUGAGUGAUGGAAGCCCUUCAAGAAAGGAGCAGAAUGCUGAAGAUGAAGCCAGAAUUAUUGUCUCAUCAGCUCAUUGGUGAACAUUCCAGUCAGUUUCUGAAUCUGAUCCUUGAAGCCUGUGUGAACUCGACCCUGCGUGAACUCGAUCCUGCCUGGAACCUGGUUUUUCUCUCUCUCUCUGCCUGAACCCCCAUCAAGAGUCAAACAUCUUCGAGAACACUCUGGUAGACUGUCCUGUGUGGAACAGUGGACUGCGUCUCUGCCUGUCACGGUAGACCAGGGUUCAAUUCCCAAGCUGGUCACCUUAUCCACCUCAAAAGACCACCUAAACCCUGUCAGCUGUAUUGAUCCAGGUGAUAUCAGUAAGCCAGUUCACUCGGUUCCUGCUUGGAAGUGCUCAACUAGCUUGCUAUCUUCUAGAGCUUCCUCUGAUCGUCUACUCGCAUCACUGACCUAUUGUUCACCUCACUGUCGCCACUCCUUGGCUUGGAGAAGACUUGCCAGUAUCCUAAGAACCUUAACAUUAAGGAAACUGAAAAUAAACUUUCUAAAAACGU